rnacentral:rRNA from 1 species
AUGGACCUAAUACUUCCAUUUAAAGUUGGAGAUGCUAUAGAGACAAGAUCCUAUGACGCUGGUUAUAGGGGCGCAUGGUUCCGUGGCAAGCUCACCGACAUGCGUAUCAGGGAAGGUCACCUGGAGUGUCAGGUGGAGUAUAUAGACUAUCCAGAUGAAAAAAGGAGAUGGAGUAGACUAUACAAAGUUCCCCCAAAAUGUCGUAAUCAGAAAGCAGGUCAAAAUAGGGAGAUCAUGUUACGACCUGCUUUUCCUCAGUGGUGUUGGGAGAAUGAUAUUCUUGAGCAUUGGCCACAGACGGAUGUUCUAGCAGUUGUAAGCAGUCCUUGGAAAGUAGGUGACUUGAUUGACUGGUGGUACAAUGAUUGUUUCUGGACUGGCAAAAUUAUCGAGUUUCUGGGUGAAGACAAAGUUAAGAUAAUUUGUCCUGAGAUACCAAUAGGUGAAGGUGGAUGCUGGGCUGCCGAUACCAAGGACCUUAGGCCAGCGCUUGAUUGGUCCCUCUUAAAAGGUUGGAUCGCCCCUCUUUCACAGGUCUACAAAACGAGGCGGAUAAAUAGGUGCUGCUGGAGGGAGCUUCAUCGAUUCAAAAUUCCACUGUCAGGGUGCAUGAAGAAACUCCCACAUCGCCCCCUGGGAUCUCUGAAAGGGAAGUGGUGGAGGAUGAGAUUGAGGAGAAUGAGGAAGAUGUUCAUCUUUGAUCUCCACAUCCUGGGCAUGUCGCUAUUGAGAAGUUUGGCUGGCCGGUCUAGUGUCUUUUCCUGUAGUAUGUCAGUUUGA